UCGUAGUUGCCGGGUAGUGGAGGUCGGGCAUGCUUGUGAAACAACCACCACGAAAUGCUAUGCAGGCGCCCCCCUGAAAAAAAAACAAAAAAACAGGUAUUAACAUGAAAUGACAGAGAAACGUGCCACGGACUACUUUCUUGAAUCGCUUCCCCGCUGAGCCGACACGUCGCCAAGGUGACGGGAGGCGCGUAGAAGACGCGGAAGCAUCGCGGAGAACCGUCCGUCCGUUUUGUCCUACAAAAGGCGCCGACAGUUUGACAGCGGCAGGAGCUCAGUGCGCAGGCCUGAGCGUUAACGGUAGGUUAACUGCCGCAGGAAGGACGGCAGCCAGAGGACUACAUGAAACCAUAAAGACAAGUCCUUUUUUGUGCAGAGGGAAACUAGAUAAAACAUGAGGAAGGACGUGAGGAUACUGCUCGUCGGGGAACCCAAAGUGGGGAAAACAUCACUGAUAAUGUCUCUGGUCAGUGAGGAGUUUCCGGAUGAGGUUCCUCUCCGAGCUGAGGAGAUCACCAUCCCAGCUGAUGUCACCCCAGAGAGGGUGCCCACGCACAUUGUGGACUACUCAGAAGCUGAACAGUCAGACGAGCAGCUAUACCAAGAAAUAUCAAAGGCAAAUGUUAUCUGCAUAGUUUACUCAGUCAACAACAAGAAGUCCAUUGAAAAGGUGACAAGCCACUGGAUUCCCCUCAUAAAUGACAGGACGGACAAGGAUAGCAGGGUACCAUUGAUCCUUGUGGGAAACAAGUCAGACCUGGUAGAACACAGCAGCAUGGAGACCAUCCUGCCAAUUAUGAAUCAAUACCAGGACAUCGAGACCUGCGUAGAGUGCUCUGCCAAAAACCUGAAGAACAUCUCUGAGCUGUUCUACUACGCCCAGAAGGCUGUUCUCCACCCGACAGGACCCCUGUACUGCCCAGAGGAGAAGGAGCUGAAGCCCUCUUGCAUUAAGGCUUUAACUAGAAUCUUUAAAGUGUCCGACCUGGACAACGACGGCAUCCUUAAUGACAAUGAGCUCAACUUCUUCCAGAAAACGUGUUUCAAUACACCACUGGCACCUCAGGCCUUAGAGGAUGUAAAGAAUGUGGUCAGGAGGAACAUGACAGAUGGAGUCAAGGACAACGGACUCACACUCAAAGGGUUCCUGUUCCUCCACACCCUCUUCAUACAGCGAGGGCGACAUGAGACCACGUGGACUGUGCUUAGGCGGUUUGGUUAUGACGAUGACCUGGAGCUCACACAGGAAUACCUGUUUCCCUUGCUAAAGAUCCCCCCCGACUGCACCACAGAGCUUAACCACAACGCUUACCUCUUCCUCCAGAGUGUCUUUGACAAACAUGACAAGGACAGAGAUUGUGCGUUGUCGCCAGAGGAGGUGAAGGACUUGUUCAAAGUGUUUCCCUACAUGCCCUGGGGUCCAGAUGUCAACAACACUGUUUGCACUAACGACCAGGGAUGGAUCACAUACCAGGGAUAUCUCUCUCAGUGGACGUUGACAACAUAUCUAGAUGUACAGCGUAGUUUGGAGUACUUGGGUUACCUGGGCUACUCUAUCAUCUAUGAACAGGAGUCCCAAGCUGCUGCCAUUACAGUGACACGUAACAAGCGCAUUGAUCUGCAGAAGAAACAGACCCAGCGCAGCGUCUUCCGCUGCAACGUCUUGGGGGCCCGGGACAGCGGGAAGACUGGCUUCCUCCAAGCGUUCCUGGGCAAGGACCUGCAGCGACAGAGGCGGAUUAGAGAAGACCACAAGUCCCUCUAUGCCAUCAGCACGACUUAUGUGUAUGGUCAGGAGAAGUACCUGCUGCUCCAUGAGGUGAUGCCAGAUUUUGACUUCCUGUCAGAGGCGGACCUAGCCUGCGAUGUGGUGUGCCUAGUGUAUGACAUCAACAAUCCACGCUCUUUUGAAUACUGCGCCAAAGUGUACAAGCAAUACUUCAUAGACAGCAAGACGCCAUGUGUGGUGAUUGCCGCCAAGUCAGACCUGCACGAAAUACGGCAGCACUACAGCCUCUCGCCGCAGGAGUUCUGCCGUAAGCAUAAGCUCCACCCACCCCAGCCGUUCACAUGCAACACGACUGAGGCUCUCAACAAAGACAUCUACACUAGACUCACCACCAUGGCCAUGUAUCCCCACGCCCGUCUCCGCUGCAUGUGUGCCUGCAACAGGUGCACCUAUUGCCUGUGUCAGAACCUCCUCAAGUCGGAGCUGCUGCGCAAUAUUAAGGCCCAACUGCGCAGGGUCGUUUUCAACAGGUGUUCAUACCCAUGUUUUUGGCUGCCCCUCUUCCUCUUCCUCUUGCAUGUUUUCACCCUCUGCUAAUCUGCCUCUCUGGGUAACUAAAGGCAUGCCUCGGUCCUAUAUUUUGCCAUCUACUGGCGGCUGGGAACAGGUUUCUCAUCUGUCCGUGUCUGCAGUAAAGAGAGCUUGGUGUUUUGAAUAAAGUGGGGGAGGUUUACUGAACCACAGUGCAGGGUUUGAAUGGCUGUUUAUGGUGUUGGAUUGGGCAGAAGCGUGUUGUGUGUUUGCUGAAUUUGAAUAUGUUAAACUCAACAGUGGCAUAAAAUGUGCAGGGCCUUUGGUUGGGUGUCCUUGGACCCAGGCAGAGCUAUAUGCUGUAGUGUUGCAUCCAGCACUAACCCCUUUGUGUUGAUGCGUACUUAAUCUUGGGAGUUGUUGACACUAUUAAUAGCAUGACACUUACUGGCAGUGCAAGGGGCUGACCCACCACAUUGAACGCCCAGCGUGUUUUCUCAAAAGUAGUUCUGUUGUUUUAAAUGUAUAUAGUAGAACAAUGUAAUUCAAUAGUGUGCAAUACUGAAAUCACUUCAGGUCACCAAAGUUACAAACAAACAGUAGUAAAUUGUGUCAGGUCACUUGAGAAACUUGAUUUUAUGGAAGCCAGUGCAGAGGGAAUACAAGUCUCCAGCGAUUUCUGUUGUUCUGCACUUUAAUCAAAAUUUACUGCCAUGAAUACGUAAGAGCGUUUUCUGCAGCAAAGAAAGUUUUCCCAAGAAACUCACACUCGAGAUCUUUUCAAAUUGAUUUCACUUCUCAAAAUGGCUCAACCCUUCCAGUCUGGCUGCCAUGUGGUGUGUACAGUAUGUAUCUGUGGUGUGUUUGUGUAGCUUUAUUGUCGUUGUCUGAAGUGUGUGGUAACAUUUGACACGGUAUGCAGUCAUGGUUGAGCUUGUGCUUUAAACGUUUGGGUGGUGAUUGAAGUUCUCUGCUUUUACGGGGUGGGCAGAGCUGGGUGAGGAGGCAGAUAUCACGAUAGUUUCAACUUCAUAUUACAAUAUGUUUUGUGUUACUGUUGACAUUUACUGUGAAAUGUCACCUGCACAAACAAACAUUAUUAAUGUGGCCAAGAAACUGAAUUAACUGAAUCUCAACCAAAAUCAUAAUAAUGAUAUAUAGUCUUACAGCACAAUAUCAGUUUUAUUUUCAUGCUGUUUCCCAGCUAUAAGGUAAUUGAAUAUUAAAAGAAAUAAUAAUUUAAAAAAAAGAAAAUUAAAAUUAUUUGAUGUCAAUGAAGAUGUACUGUAGUGUUAAAGCAAGUACAGGCAUUCAUGGAUAAUUUCAUCAGUCAUAUUAUUUUAAUGUGAGAAGGCUAGGACAACAUAUAUUCUGUGUUACAACAUUAUAAGAGCUUUAAUCAUUCUGAUAAUUAAUUAGUUGUUUUGUUUCUUUGUUUUUUAGACAAAUAUGCACAAAGUUCUCUGGUUUCAGCUUCUUAAAGUGAUUUUUUUUCUGGUUUUCAUAUAGUCUGCCCUGAUAAUUAACUUAAUAUCUUUGGUUUUUAGACUGUUGUCAGCCAGAAAAAGAAGACAUCACCAUUAAUUAAUUGUCAAUUUAUGGAUGAUUAAUCAAGAAACCAAUCUGCAGUUAAGUAAUCGCUAAUGAGAAUAAUUAUUAGUAUCUAGUAUCUCCCAGCUCUACCUAGUGUGUGCGUGUGUGCGUGUGUGCGUGUGUGCGUGUGUGUGCGAGUGUGUGCGUGCGUGUGUGUGGGUGUGGGCUAGGCUGGGCGGAGGCUGUGGGGGAGGGGCUACCUGCUGUCAGAGGAGGAUUUCAGCCUGUCACAGCAGGUUUCAGCCGUCUCCAACGUGGACGGGUCCGUCUUUAUGGAGGUCUCUGCUGUGCAGCUAAUUCCCCCAGAAAGGCACAUGGCUCAGGCGGACCUGAAGAACUCGACCUUCUGGCUGAGAGCGAGCGUCGGUGCCACAGUGUGCGCCGUGCUGGGCUUCGCCAUGUACAGAGCACUUCUCAAACAGCGGUGAUCAGACAGCAUGAGACACCUACUUCCUCUCCC